rnacentral:rRNA from 1 species
AUUGAACGCUGGCGGCGUGCUUAACACAUGCAAGUCGAGCGGUAACGCGGGGGCAACCCUGGCGACGAGCGGCGAACGGGUGCGUAAUGCAUGGGAAUCUGCCUGAUAGUGGGGGAAUAACCCCGGGGAAACUCGGGCUAAUGCCGCAUACGACCUACGGGUGAAAGCGGGGGGACCGUAAGGCCUCGCGCUAUCGGAUGAGCCCAUGUCGGAUUAGCUAGUUGGUAGGGUAACGGCCUACCAAGGCUACGAUCCGUAGCUGGUCUGAGAGGACGGCCAGCCACACUGGGACUGAGACACGGCCCAGACUCCUACGGGAGGCAGCAGUGGGGAAUAUUGGACAAUGGGGGAAACCCUGAUCCAGCGACGCCGCGUGUGUGAAGAAGGCCUGCGGGUUGUAAAGCACUUUCGGUGGGAACGAAAUAUGCCGGGCCAAUACCCCGGCAGGCUGACGUUACCAAUGAAGAAGCACCGGCUAACUCUGUGCCAGCAGCCGCGU